ensembl:lincRNA
CGCAGGCGCGAGGGCGGGCCUGGGGAGCGGCGCUGGGACUCGGGGACGCCCCCGCCCCACCGCGGAGGUCGCGCCGGCGCUGGUGGAGGUGCAGGCCGGGGCUGUUCUGCCGCUGAAGGUGCCGCCGGCCGGCAGCGCACUCACCCGGGUAUAGGGAGGAGACAAUUGUGGAAUUUAAACCGCUCCUGGGACCGACACGGGCCUGAAUUUUCAGUUUGCUUCGGGAGUUGGCAACUUCAGCCUGCCUUGGUGCCUUGGAGGAAGCUGGUUGGUGGACAGUGGAUUUGAUAAGGAUUCCUGGAAGAACUUCUAUCUGGAGUUUGACCCGAGCUUUCUUUCCGCUUGUGCCUGGUUCUCAUCUUGAACAACCAUCUCUGCCUUACCAGCGUUCUGCCCUACCCUUUCUGUUCCUCAGCAAUCGGAGCUGCUUCCUGCUUCGCCACCUUUGACACAGGAGUUCUGUUUGCCUACAGUGUCCUUCGGUGGCUCCUGUGGUGGGUUCAUUCUCAGAUCUCAAUGCCAGUGUCACCACCUCAGAGCAUCACCACCUCGGAGAAGACUUCUGUGACUACCUUGUGGCUCCUUCAGUCAUCCCAAAAAAUGGCUCCAAAGGUUAAAUGA